rnacentral:rRNA from 1 species
AUUGAACGCUGGCGGCAUGCCUUACACAUGCAAGUCGAACGGCAGCACGGGAGCAAUCCUGGUGGCGAGUGGCGAACGGGUGAGUAAUAUAUCGGAACGUGCCCAGUCGUGGGGAUAACGUAGCGAAAGCUACGCUAAUACCGCAUACGAUCUAUGGAUGAAAGCGGGGGAUCGCAAGACCUCGCGCGAUUGGAGCGGCCGAUAUCAGAUUAGGUAGUUGGUGAGGUAAAGGCUCACCAAGCCGACGAUCUGUAGCUGGUCUGAGAGGACGACCAGCCACACUGGGACUGAGACACGGUCCAGACUCCUACGGGAGGCAGCAGUGGGGAAUUUUGGACAAUGGACGCAAGUCUGAUCCAGCCAUUCCGCGUGCAGGAUGAAGGCCCUCGGGUUGUAAACUGCUUUUGUACGGAACGAAAGGUUUCUCUUAAUACGAGGAGCUCAUGACGGUACCGUAAGAAUAAGCACCGGCUAACUACGUGCCA